rnacentral:misc_RNA from 1 species
GCUUGUUGAACAGUCCAUUUUGAUAUGAGGGAUUCCUAUGAUUGAUUAGGGAUAAUAUUUCAGAAAGUGUGUGCCAUUCAACCACUGUAUGCCAUUUUUGAAUCAAGGACUAUGCAAAUUACGUAGGUGGUCAACCACAUCAUAGGAACUACUGAGUCGUUGAUAAUCAGACCGGUGGAGAAGACUUCCUUGGACUUGCCUAGGGCGAUUGGAUUUUGGGUCAAUCCUUACCGUCUGCGAUGAACAGCAGUGGCGCACACGGAUGCGAUGAUUUCUCGAGUGGUUUGUGUUGUUUGUACCAUGCACUUUGAUCACCAAUAUAGCUUCCCUGUCUCUGGUGUCUUCACACCAUGAGUUUUGAGGGACACCAUCAACAAACUCUUCUAGGGUGGGGAAAUCCUCAAGAUGAACAGAUACCUCUGCAAUAUGGUCUGGUUUAAUUACACCAGCUGCUGGAAUGACCUCAAGCCAUCGAGGAAAACCAAAGGAACCUCUUGGAUGAUGAUCUGAUGCACGUCCAUCUUCAUUAAUUGUAGAUUGACCUUCACAAAUAAUUUCAAAUAGAGCAACACUUUUCCCACAUUUAUUUGUGAUACGCAAAAUGGUUGUAUCCUGGUUUUGAAGGAUUAUAUUAUUUGUGCUGACAAUAGUUUCUGGAAUCUUGCAUUGUUCUUCAAGCAAGUGUCUAAUUUCCUCAUUCGAUUUCAUUAUGUCCCCAAAUUCUUGUCUCCUAACUGACUCAUCAACUCGUGCAAUAUCAACACUAAAUAUGCAACGCACAGGCUUGUGAUCACUAUCAGUGACAUCCAUGCAAGCAUCAUACUGUGAUAUCAGAGAGACAACAGGACAGUCUAAACUGGAUUCAGACACCUGAGUUGACCGGCUAUCCCGGUAAAGUAUUCUAUCACACCAUGCAGGGACACGCUUUUUUUCACCUGAAUCAUAACCUGCUAAACCAGGUUGAUGUUUGUCAAACUUGUAUGUAGGAGGAAAUCUAAUAACUGCUUCCCGCAUUCCUUGGAAGACAUUCCCAUCUUCCAUUUCUGCUCGGAGCUGAUCCCUUUCUCUAAGCCAAUCAAAGCAUCUUUGAGAAAUGAAGUCCCUUGCUUCAUCAUAAGUCCCACCAAGCCUAUAAUUGAAGUCGCCAAGAAAUAUGACCAUGUCUGCCUCAGAUAACUCAGGCAUUCCUUCUGAAGAAUUG